UACGUAGGGGGCGAGCGUUGUCCGGAGUUACUGGGCGUAAAGGGCGCGCAGGCGGUCUGGUAAGUUUGGAGUGACAGUGCUCGGCUUAACUGAGCAAGGCCUUCGAAAACUGCUAGACUUGAGCACUCAAGAGGGACAUAGAAUUCCGGGUGGAGUGGUGAAAUGCGUAGAUAUCCGGAGGAAUACCAAAGGCGAAGGCAGUGUCCUGGGGAGUGUCUGACGCUCAGGCGCGAAAGCUAGGGGAGCGAACAGG
rnacentral:rRNA from 1 species